AGAGUUUGAUCCUGGCUCAGAUUGAACGCUGGCGACGUGCUUAACACAUGCAAGUCGUGCGAGAAAGUAGACUUCGGUCUAUGAGUAGAGCGGCGCACGGGUGAGUAACGCGUGGAUGAUCCACCCUUGAGUUCGGGAUAACGGUGCGAAAGCGCCGCUAAUACCGUAUAACAAUCCAUUUCAUCGUGGGUUCAAAGCAGGCCUCUUCGUGAAAGCUUGCGCUUGGGGAUGAGUCCGCGUCCCAUUAGCUUGUUGGCGGGGUAACGGCCCACCAAGGCUACGAUGGGUAGCUGGUCUGAGAGGAUGAUCAGCCACACUGGAACUGAAACACGGUCCAGACUCCUACGGGAGGCAGCAGUGGGGAAUAUUGCGCAAUGGGGGAAACCCUGACGCAGCGACGUCGUGUGAGGGAAGAAGGCCUUCGGG
rnacentral:rRNA from 1 species